rnacentral:lncRNA from 1 species
GUCUUGAUUAAUAUAUUUACUUUUACUGUUUGGUCUGUUUUUGGUGAUAUCUAUUUGACGUGGCUCUGUACUUAUGCAUCCAGUUAUUGCGUUGUUUGUAUUAUCUUGCAUGUUUGCUUAUGUGGUUUGUCCGUGUCACUUUUUUUGUUUCUUAGAUACAUAUGGCGUUGCACUGUAUUUAUACAUCCCGCCAUUGUGUUAUUGUUUUACUAUGAUUUUUGUGUUCUUGUCUUUCAUAUUUGCUAAUGCUUUAUCUAUAUGCCCUUUUGUGUUUCUUUGAUACAUAAUGACGUGGAUCUUCUUAUUUUGUUUUAGAAGAAAUACACAAUAAGCAUAUAGACAACGGCCAGAAGGAAACUGUAAACUUCUAAUUUACAUUCUGCAGAGAAUAUACCUAAAAGAACUAUAG